rnacentral:misc_RNA from 1 species
AGGAUCGUGAGAGGUGAACGACGCGGCGCAUCCACGAGACCGGGCCAAAGAGGCUUCUGGCUCGUAGCUGGCAAUGUUUGAAGUGCCGUCGCCGGAAGCUUACAAACACCGACUCCGUGUUGUGACAUCGUAUUAUGCCAAGCGAAACUUACGAUCUCGCUAGAUCGUUAAUUUGCGAUCCGGUUUUACGACGUCUAGUUUGCACUGAGCCACCAGUGUACUUGGCGAAAAUUCGUUAAACAACCGAUACCUUGAGAGAACGACAUAAAGAAACCGAUCGGAAAUUUUCAUGGAAGAAGAUCCUCCUCCCUAACUCGUGUAUCUGACCAAAUAAAAGGGCGUGUCGUUGACCUAGGGAUUAAAACUGAUUGGGUAUACAAUCUGCUCGACACUGAGCUCAUAAUUAUUUCUAUAGUGGCGCUAGAGCUGUCAAGUGCGGCUUGCAAACGCAGCAAGAUAUACAGGCACUGUGUCGGACAUACUGCAGAAGUGCAUCAACGGUUGACACUGAGAAACGUCCUCGAGAAAUCCGUCGGGGCGGCUAGCUGGGACACGCGGCCACCUCGUUAAUUCGCUAGACAGCCAUUAAAUUAAGCUCCUCGGCCUCUGUCGCCACCGAUGAAUGCUUUGAACGAGUGAAAAAAGGGAAUCGGCAUAGCCAUGCGAUGAAUUCUUCAAAGGGUAGAGACUUUGGGAUGCUUAGAUAGAUUAAUACCGGUAUACUUGCUAGUAGAAAUAUAUGGAGUGCUUGUUGAGGCUCUACCAAAUGAAAAGAAGUGAUAUAUCUUGCAUUAAAGGUGUUAAUCGCUCACUCUAUUACAAGAUUCAUGAUCUCCUUAUGUCCUUAAAAGUUUAGGAAGUGGUAAUGAUAAUUUUUCAAUUAUGGAAAUUGUAAAUACUUGUACUAAAAGACUGAAGAGAAUCCUUGUUGCUUUGCAAACAAACAAACAAACAGGAGAGGAUUUAUUGUUUCUGAUGAUUUAGCUUGUUUGCACUUCAACACUAAUAAAGGUAGAGGGCCUAUAAAUCACUCCUGUAAACUAGCAGAUGAAUGUCUUUAGGCUCUAAGGAUAAAUUCCGAUAAACUUAUUGCUAGCUUUACGUCUAAAUUGUAUUAUUGAAACAUUGAGUUGUCAAACAAUCAAACAUGCACUUGAUCAUACUGAAAGAGUGAUAACUUAUGGAUUUUAGAAGCAAUAAAGUGCGAUUUUUAACAAACAAUAAAAGCUGUUAAU